rnacentral:rRNA from 1 species
AACGAACGCUGGCGGCAUGCCUAACACAUGCCGGUCGAACGAGACCUUCGGGUCUAGUGGCGCACGGGUGCGUAACGCGUGGGAACCUGCCCUUAGGUUCGGAAUAACUCCCCGAAAGGGGUGCUAAUACCGGAUAAUGUCUUCGGACCAAAGAUUUAUCGCCUUUGGAUGGGCCCGCGUUGGAUUAGCUAGUUGGUAGGGUAAAAGCCUGCCAAGGCGACGAUCCAUAGCUGGUCUGAGAGGAUGAUCAGCCACACUGGGACUGAGACACGGCCCAGACUCCUACGGGAGGCAGCAGUGGGGAAUAUUGGACAAUGGGCGAAAGCCUGAUCCAGCAAUGCCGCGUGAGUGAUGAAGGCCUUAGGGUUGUAAAGCUCUUUUACCCGGGAUGAUAAUGACAGUACCGGGAGAAUAAGCUCCGGCUAACUCCGUG